rnacentral:rRNA from 1 species
UACGGAGGAUGCGAGCGUUAUCCGGAUUUAUUGGGUUUAAAGGGUGCGUAGGCGGAUCGUUAAGUCAGUGGUCAAAUUGAGGGGCUCAACCCCUUCCCGCCAUUGAAACUGGCGAUCUUGAGUGGAAGAGAAGUAUGCGGAAUGCGUGGUGUAGCGGUGAAAUGCAUAGAUAUCACGCAGAACCCCGAUUGCGAAGGCAGCAUACCGGCGCCCUACUGACGCUGAGGCACGAAAGCGUGGGUAUCGAACAGG